rnacentral:pre_miRNA from 1 species
UGGACAGGUUAUUAUAUUCGACUGUAUUCACGGCGUGAAAUAGGGGAUUAUACUGUUUUUAAAAUGGAAAGUGAAUUAAUUAAUAUAAUAUACUCCU